rnacentral:tRNA from 1 species
AUUAAAUUAGUUUAUUCAAAACUAGGAAUUGUGGUUUCCUAAACCCAUAUUUAUGGAUUUAGUU